rnacentral:rRNA from 1 species
GACGAACGCUGGCGGCGUGCUUAACACAUGCAAGUCGAACGGAAAGGCCCUGCUUUUGUGGGGUGCUCGAGUGGCGAACGGGUGAGUAACACGUGAGUAACCUGCCCUUGACUUUGGGAUAACUUCAGGAAACUGGGGCUAAUACCGGAUAGGAGCUCCUGCUGCAUGGUGGGGGUUGGAAAGUUUCGGCGGUUGGGGAUGGACUCGCGGCUUAUCAGCUUGUUGGUGGGGUAGUGGCUUACCAAGGCUUUGACGGGUAGCCGGCCUGAGAGGGUGACCGGCCACAUUGGGACUGAGGUACGGCCCAGACUCCUACGGGAGGCAGCAGUGGGGAAUAUUGCACAAUGGGCGGAAGCCUGAUGCAGCAACGCCGCGUGCGGGAUGACGGCCUUCGGGUUGUAAACCGCUUUCGCCUGGGACGAAGCGAGAGUGACGGUAAUGGGUAAAGAAGCACCGGCUAACUACGUG